AUACGGAGGGGGCUAGCGUUGUUCGGAAUUACUGGGCGUAAAGCGCGCGUAGGCGGCAGGUCAAGUUGGGUGUGAAAGCCCGGGGCUCAACCCCGGAAUUGCAUUCAAAACUGGCAAGCUAGAGACCGAGAGAGGUGAGUGGAAUUUCCAGUGUAGAGGUGAAAUUCGUAGAUAUUAGAAAGAACACCAGUGGCGAAGGCGGCUCACUGGCUCGGUACUGACGCUGAGGUGCGAAAGCGUGGGUAGCAAACAGGAUUAGAUACCCCAGUAGUCC
rnacentral:rRNA from 1 species